rnacentral:piRNA from 1 species
UAAAAUGUAAAAGAGGCCAGACAACAAA